rnacentral:rRNA from 1 species
GACGAACGCUGGCGGCGUGCUUAACACAUGCAAGUCGAACGGAAAGGCCCUGCUUUUGUGGGGUGCUCGAGUGGCGAACGGGUGAGUAACACGUGAGUAACCUGCCCUUGACUUUGGGAUAACUUCAGGAAACUGGGGCUAAUACCGGAUAGGAGCUCCUGCUGCAUGGUGGGGGUUGGAAAGUUUCGGCGGUUGGGGAUGGACUCGCGGCUUAUCAGCUUGUUGGUGGGGUAGUGGCUUACCAAGGCUUUGACGGGUAGCCGGCCUGAGAGGGUGACCGGCCACAUUGGGACUGAGAUACGGCCCAGACUCCUACGGGAGGCAGCAGUGGGGAAUAUUGCACAAUGGGCGGAAGCCUGAUGCAGCAACGCCGCGUGCGGGAUGACGGCCUUCGGGUUGUAAACCGCUUUCGCCUGUGACGAAGCGUGAGUGACGGUAAUGGGUAAAGAAGCACCGGCUAACUACGUGCCAGCAGCCGCGGUGAUACGUAGGGUGCGAGCGUUGUCCGGAUUUAUUGGGCGUAAAGGGCUCGUAGGUGGUUGAUCGCGUCGGAAGUGUAAUCUUGGGGCUUAACCCUGAGCGUGCUUUCGAUACGGGUUGACUUGAGGAAGGUAGGGGAGAAUGGAAUUCCUGGUGGAGCGGUGGAAUGCGCAGAUAUCAGGAGGAACACCAGUGGCGAAGGCGGUUCUCUGGGCCUUUCCUGACGCUGAGGAGCGAAAGCGUGGGGAGCGAACAGGCUUAGAUACCCUGGUAGUCCACGCUGUAAACGGUGGGUACUAGGUGUGGGGUCCAUUCCACGGGUUCCGUGCCGUAGCUAACGCUUUAAGUACCCCGCCUGGGGAGUACGGCCGCAAGGCUAAAACUCAAAGGAAUUGACGGGGCCCCGCACAAGCGGCGGAGCAUGCGGAUUAAUUCGAUGCAACGCGUAGAACCUUACCUGGGUUUGACAUGGAUCGGGAGUGCUCAGAGAUGGGUGUGCCUCUUUUGGGGUCGGUUCACAGGUGGUGCAUGCCUGUCGUCAGCUCGUGUCGUGAGAUGUUGGGUUAAGUCCCGCAACGAGCGCAACCCUUGUUCACUGUUGCCAGCACGUUAUGGUGGGGACUCAGUGGAGACCGCCGGGGUCAACUCGGAGGAAGGUGGGGAUGACGUCAAGUCAUCAUACCCCUUAUGUCCAGGGCUUCACGCAUGCUACAAUGGCUGGUACAGAGAGUGGCGAGCCUGUGAGGGUGAGCGAAUCUCGGAAAGCCGGUCUCAGUUCGGAUUGGGGUCUGCAACUCGACCUCAUGAAGUCGGAGUCGCUAGUAAUCGCAGAUCAGCAACGCUGCGGUGAAUACGUUCCCGGGGCU